CCAACUGAUGCUGAGGUAGAAAUUGAAUGUCAGCGCCCCCUAAUCCUCCUCUGCAGACUCUUGCGAGGAUGUCUCUUCGGUCUCCUGCAACACACGGAAGGCAGGUUGUCUGUCAUGUAAACAGCCUUGAAAACCACCCUUGAAGUUUCUGUGAAAACAUUCAACAUCUUGGAAGGGCUGAGUGCCACAGGACAACGGGGGUUUCCCAGGAUUCCCUCGUCCCUGUGCCACACCACACAUGGAAGAUCCCCACAGGAUGAAGAUGCUGGCCUUCUCUACGGAUGCUGUACAGGGUGUCUGACAUGCAGCCCUCUGUGAAUGAGUCAUUUGACACCCCGCCCCCGAAGGAGUCAAGACCCAGAGCCAGGACGAAAACAAACAAACAAGCAACACUAACACACUCUUCCUUCAUGCUGAGCAAAUUUCCCUGUCAGUCUGCUUUACCUAACCAUGAGAUGGCUCUCCUGGCUUGUCUGGGCUAUCCCUGGAAACUGCUGAGUGCAUUCACUUGGUCACGGACUGAAG
ensembl:processed_transcript 1700006J14Rik RIKEN cDNA 1700006J14 gene